rnacentral:tRNA from 1 species
GCCUGGGUGGCUCAGUCGGUUAAGCGUCUGACUUCGGCUCAGGGCAUGAUCUAGCAGUUUGUGGGUUUGAGCCCCGCGUCGGGCU